AACGAACGCUGGCGGCAGGCCUAACACAUGCAAGUCGAGCGCCCCAGCGAUGGGGAGCGGCGGACGGGUGAGUAACGCGUGGGAACGUGCCUCUUGCUACGGAAUAGCCUCGGGAAACUGGGAGUAAUACCGUAUGUGCCCUACGGGGGAAAGAUUUAUCGGCAAGAGAUCGGCCCGCGUUGGAUUAGGUAGUUGGUGGGGUAAUGGCCUACCAAGCCGACGAUCCAUAGCUGGUUUGAGAGGAUGAUCAGCCACACUGGGACUGAGACACGGCCCAGACUCCUACGGGAGGCAGCAGUGGGGAAUCUUAGACAAUGGGCGCAAGCCUGAUCUAGCCAUGCCGCGUGAGCGAUGAAGGCCUUAGGGUUGUAAAGCUCUUUCAGUGGGGAAGAUAAUGACUGUACCCACAGAAGAAGCCCCGGNUAACUCCGUG
rnacentral:rRNA from 1 species